rnacentral:rRNA from 1 species
AGCGAACGUUAGCGGCGGGCCUAACACAUGCAAGUCGAGCGAGAAAGUGGCUUCGGCCAUGAGUAAAGCGGCGGACGGGUGAGUAACACGUAGGUAAUCUUCCCUUGAGCGGGGGACAACAGGCCGAAAGGCCUGCUAAUACCGCAUAAGUACUAGAGGACUCCGGUUCUUUAGUGGAAAGCUAGGUAGCAAUAUCCGGCACUCGAGGAGGAGCCUGCGUCGCAUCAGCUAGUUGGUGGGGUAACGGCCUACCAAGGCGAAGACGCGUAGCUGGUCUGAGAGGAUGAUCAGCCACACUGGGACUGAGACACGGCCCAGACUCCUACGGGAGGCAGCAGUGGGGAAUAUUGGACAAUGGGCGCAAGCCUGAUCCAGCCACGCCGCGUGAGUGAUGAAGGCCUUCGGGUCGUAAAGCUCUGUGGGGAGGGACGAACCGCCAUCGGUUAAUACCCGGCGGCAUGACGGUACCUCCUUAGCAAGCACCGGCUAACUUCGUGCCAGCAGCCGCUGUAAAAC